AUCAAUUUGUCAGAUGUCAGAUUAUGUUUAGGUUAUGUUAUGAAAUAUUUUCUUUCCAAAUGCAAAAGAUGAAUUUACUUUGUCCAAAAAUAUAUUCGUUUCUAUAGCAGAAUUUAACAAUUCUACAGUUUUCGCCUUCGACACUAUAUUUAGAAAAUUGUAUCAAUCCUUCAACGUAAAUCCUGUUAAUUGUUAAGAUAACAUGCUUACAUUAACUAAAUCAGUAAUAUCCUUGACAAGGAGUUUAUAUCCAAAUGUUGUUAAUAAAGUAGCCCAAUUUCAUGCCAUAGGUAAUGGUGCACUAAAUUUUGUGAAGGAAGACUCCUUCUUAAGACCUACGACCAAUAUUUUUACCAGUAUUUGUGGAUUUAAAGUAAUGGGAAAAGUGAGAAAACGAUGCAAAGAUUGUUAUAUGGUUUGGAGAGAACAGAGGCUAUAUGUUAUUUGUAAUACACACAGAAGACAUAAGCAAAUGUCUAUGGUAAAAAGGCCUGAAAAUACAUGGAUUUUGUCACACGCAACUCAGUCAAAGAAAAGGCCAUGGUAGAUUAUCAAAAUUAAAAUAUAGCUUGUAUAUAUAAAAUAGUUGUGGUUAGUAAAUUUCAUACCAAUA